rnacentral:rRNA from 1 species
UACGUAGGGCGCAAGCGUUAUCCGGAAUUAUUGGGCGUAAAGAGCUCGUAGGCGGUUUGUCGCGUCUGCCGUGAAAGUCCGGGGCUCAACUUCGGGCCUGCAUCCGAAACUGCCCGACUAGAGGUAGGUAGGGGAGAUCGGAAUUCCUGGUGUAGCGGUGAAAUGCGCAGAUAUCAGGAGGAACACCGGUGGCGAAGGCGGAUCUCUGGGCCUUACCUGACGCUCAGGUGCGAAAGCUAGGGGAGCGAACAGG